rnacentral:rRNA from 1 species
UACGGAGGGGGCUAGCGUUGUUCGGAAUUACUGGGCGUAAAGCGCACGUAGGCGGCUUUGUAAGUUAGAGGUGAAAGCCCAGAGCUCAACUCUGGAACUGCCUUUAAGACUGCAUCGCUUGAAUCAUGGAGAGGUUAGUGGAAUUCCGAGUGUAGAGGUGAAAUUCGUAGAUAUUCGCAAGAACACCGGUGGCGAAGGCGGCCAACUGGACCAUUACUGACGCUGAGGCGCGAAAGCGUGGGGAGCAAACAGG